rnacentral:rRNA from 1 species
AACGAACGCUGGCGGCAUGCCUAACACAUGCAAGUCGAACGAGACCUUCGGGUCUAGUGGCGCACGGGUGCGUAACGCGUGGGAACCUGCCCUUAGGUUCGGAAUAACUCCCCGAAAGGGGUGCUAAUACCGGAUAAUGUCUUCGGACCAAAGCUUUAUCGCCUUUGGAUGGGCCCGCGUUGGAUUAGCUAGUUGGUAGGGUAAAAGACUACCAAGGCGACGAUCCAUAGCUGGUCUGAGAGGAUGAUCAGCCACACUGGGACUGAGACACGGCCCAAACUCCUACGGGAGGCAGCAGUGGGGAAUAUCGGACAAUGGGCGAAAGCCUGAUCCAGCAAUGCCGCGUGAGUGAUGAAGGCCUUAGGGUUGUAAAGCUCUUUUACCCGGGAUGAUAAUGACAGUACCGGGAGAAUAAGCUCCGGCUAACUCCGUG